GUAGCAUCUCUGGCCGCUUUUGAUCUUGUUUUUGGAGUAAAACAUGGUGGAAGCUGAAUUAGUGAGGAUGACUCCUGCUCCUGUCAUCUCUAAGCUCCUCACACAUCUUUACCUGCACAUGAGGAAAAUCACUCCUGUAGAAUGCAGAUGUUCAGAGGGAGAUGAUGCCACAUCUGGUCCAGCUGAUGGAAGGUCUUGAAGUUCUCUGACUGGCCUCGACUGAAGAUGGUCGUCUCACUGGAUUUAAGAUGCACAAUGAGGGACGUCUGCAGAGACUGAGAAAGAGUCUCACCACAUCCUGACAUGAGGAAAAAGACUUUAUUGAAGACUACAAUGAGAAAAACUAUCAGACAGCAGACGGCUGCAUUCAAGGUGAGCUCUGAACAUUUGAUCUGGAACAGGAAUUCAAUAACGGCAGCAUGAGCUUCAUUUCAGUCUGUAGCUGCUGAAUUCAUGGAUGAAUCAUCUGGCACUAGAGAGGAAGACCAUCAAACAUCCACAUCAGCUGAUGGAGGUCCAAGAGUCUCACCAAACAAACAACCUACAGAGUGAAGACCUCAAAUCUGAUUGGACGGCCUCCUAUUCAGCCACAUCUGUGAACAAAUGCCUCUAAGUUGAUUUGUUUUCUAAAAUAAAUCUAGUUUGAGUCCUAAUCUAUGUCUGUAUGUUUGCUUCUUUACACUGCUGUUAACAGUUUAGGCUGUUAGAUUGUUCCAGAUAAGACAAGUAAAAGAUUCUUCAGAGCCGUUCCACCACGAGCCUGACAGGAAGAACUCCAACAGCUACUGAAUGUUCCUGUGGUCCCCUCAAGGCUACAGGAGGAGCCCUAUGAGGACGAGCCGGUCCACCUGAUGGUGGCCAGUCGCUGCGGUUCAAAGCCAACACCGACUACGUGGACUUCUACUGGACCACACGGAGGCCUUCAAACCGGACCAACAAGUUCAGCGACUCCCCGACUCGUGGGUCUGAGGACGCCGCCGAGCCUCGGUCCAGCCGGCCUCCUGUCUGUGGGUGUUUGAGUGCUGAGAGGUUUGUGGAUGGAUGUGAAUGUGUCUGUGUUGAAACAGCAGCUUUGGACUCACUAACGCUGGUAAAAACCAAGAGCUCCUUUAUUUGUGACUUCCACUAAAAAACUGAUGAAAAUAAGUUUGCCAGGGUUCUGACUGAUAACAGAUUAUUAAAUAAUGAAAAUAAUCGUUUAAAUAUUCCUUUAAACAAUCCUUUUAGAUCUACAUUUCCUUUACACUGACUUCUUGGUAUAUGUCCAAGUAUUUUGGGUGGAAUAUACCAUUAAGCCCAAUGUUCAAGGGUUCUUCUGGGAAUAUACCAUUAACCCAACCUUUUAGGUAAAUGUUCCAGGAUGUUGGGUAGAAUAUACCAUCAGAUAAACCUUUUAGGUCUACAUUGGAAGAUUUUAGAGUAGAAUAUUACUCCAAACCAUCCUUUAGGUCUACAUUUAAGGUGGAAUACUCCUUUACACCAAGAUUUUUUGGUCUACAUUGAAAGAUUUUAGGUGAAAUAUUCCUUUGAAUGAACUUUUUAAGUUUAUGUUCAAGGAUGUUGGGUGGAAUAUACCAUCAGACCAACCUCCAAGGUCUACAGUAGUGAAUUUUAGGUGGAAUAUACCAUUAAACUCACCUUUUAGGCCUACAUUGGAGGAUUUUAGGUGGAAUUUUCUUCCAAACCGUCUUUCAGUCUACAUUUAAGGAUGUUUAGGAUGGUAUAUUCUUCCAAACCAACUUCUCAGGUCUACAUUUCAGGUGGAAUAUUUCUCCAUACUAACUUUUUUGGUCUACAUUGAAGGAUUUUUUCUAAACCACCCUUUCGGGUCUAUAUUUGAGGUUUUAGGUGGAAUAUUCCUUUUAACCAGCCCCUCAGGUCUCUUUGAGGAUUUUGGAUGGAAUACUUGGUUAAACCAACAUUUUAGGUGCAUGUCCAAGGAUUUUAGGUGGAAUGUUCCUUUGAGGUGGAUGUUUGAGGACCUUGUAGGUGGAAUACUUCCUGAAACCAACCUUUUAGGUCAACAUUCAAAGAUUUAAGGUGGAAUAUUCCUUUAAACCAACCUAAAUUUCAUGUUUUGAUCAUUAUCAAGUGAGAAACCUCAAUCCAGACUCCUCAUAAUGACGUUUGAGAUUUAUGCUGCUGUUAUUUGUUUAGUCCAGACUAAAUGACAGAAAUCCACAACUGUAAUUUUAUUUCAGGACUCGGUUAUUAAAUGUCAAAACAAUCCAUGUGACUCUAAAAACUCAACAGCUGUACAAACUCUAAGAUUAAACUCUCCACAAGGAUCCAAAAUAAGUUGGACUUCUACAUGAGAGCUUUAAUUAUUCUUCAUCUACUUCCUGAAAAGUUUGGUCAAUAAAAAAGACAAAAAGUAAUAUUUUCAGCUGAACUAAAGACAGACUUUGUGAU